GAGGCCCCGUAAUCGGAAUGAGUACACUUUAAAUCCUUUAAYGAGGAUCCAUUGGAGGGCAAGUCUGGUGCCAGCAGCCGCGRUAAUUCCAGCUCCAAUAGCGUAUAKUAAAGUUGUUGCGGUUAAAAAGCUCGUAGUUGAAUCUGUGUGUCACGAUGCUGGUUCACCGCUCGCGGUGUUUAACUAGCAUGCCGUGAGACGUCCUACCGGUGGGCUUAGCUCUUCACGGGGCGGUCCAACUAAUAUCCCAUCGCGGUGCUCUUCAUUGAGUGUCGAGGUGGGCCGGUACGUUUACUUUGAACAAAUUAGAGUGCUUAAAGCAGGCUAUCUUCGCCUGAAUACUGUGUGCAUGGAAUAAUGGAAUAGGACCUCGGUUCUAUUUUGUUGGUUUUCGGAACCCCGAGGUAAUGAUUAAUAGGGACAGAUGGGGGCAUUCGUAUUGCGACGUUAGAGGUGAAAUUCUUGGAUCGUCGCAAGACGGACAGAAGCGAAAGCAUUUGCCAAAAAUGUUUUCAUUAAUCAAGAACGAAAGUUAGAGGUUCGAAGGCGAUCAGAUACCGCCCUAGUUCUAACCAUAAACGAUGCCAGCUAGCGAUCCGCCGAAGUUCCUCCGAUGACUCGGCGGGCAGCUUCCGGGAAACCAAAGCUUUUGGGUUCCGGGGGAAGUAUGGUUGCAAAGCUGAAACUUAAAGGAAUUGACGGAAGGGCACCACCAGGAGUGGAGCCUGCGGCUUAAUUUGACUCARCACGGGRAACCUCACCAGGCCCGGACACCGGAAGGA
rnacentral:rRNA from 1 species